UUAAGCGACUAAGCGUACACGGUGGAUGCCCUGGCAGUCAGAGGCGAUGAAGGACGUGCUAAUCUGCGAUAAGCGUCGGUGAGGUGAUAUGAACCGUUAUAACCGGCGAUUUCCGAAUGGGGAAACCCAGUGUGUUUCGACACACUAUCAUUAACUGAAUCCAUAGGUUAAUGAGGCGAACCGGGGGAACUGAAACAUCUAAGUACCCCGAGGAAAAGAAAUCAACCGAGAUUCCCCCAGUAGCGGCGAGCGAACGGGGAGGAGCCCAGAGCCUGAAUCAGUGUGUGUGUUAGUGGAAGCGUCUGGAAAGGCGCGCGAUACAGGGUGACAGCCCCGUACACAAAAAUGCACAUAUUGUGAGCUCGAUGAGUAGGGCGGGACACGUGGUAUCCUGUCUGAAUAUGGGGGGACCAUCCUCCAAGGCUAAAUACUCCUGACUGACCGAUAGUGAACCAGUACCGUGAGGGAAAGGCGAAAAGAACCCCGGCGAGGGGAGUGAAAAAGAACCUGAAACCGUGUACGUACAAGCAGUGGGAGCCUCUUAAUGGGGUGACUGCGUACCUUUUGUAUAAUGGGUCAGCGACUUAUAUUCUGUAGCAAGGUUAACCGAAUAGGGGAGCCGAAGGGAAACCGAGUCUUAACUGGGCGUUAAGUUGCAGGGUAUAGACCCGAAACCCGGUGAUCUAGCCAUGGGCAGGUUGAAGGUUGGGUAACACUAACUGGAGGACCGAACCGACUAAUGUUGAAAAAUUAGCGGAUGACUUGUGGCUGGGGGUGAAAGGCCAAUCAAACCGGGAGAUAGCUGGUUCUCCCCGAAAGCUAUUUAGGUAGCGCCUCGUGAAUUCAUCUCCGGGGGUAGAGCACUGUUUCGGCAAGGGGGUCAUCCCGACUUACCAACCCGAUGCAAACUGCGAAUACCGGAGAAUGUUAUCACGGGAGACACACGGCGGGUGCUAACGUCCGUCGUGAAGAGGGAAACAACCCAGACCGCCAGCUAAGGUCCCAAAGUCAUGGUUAAGUGGGAAACGAUGUGGGAAGGCCCAGACAGCCAGGAUGUUGGCUUAGAAGCAGCCAUCAUUUAAAGAAAGCGUAAUAGCUCACUGGUCGAGUCGGCCUGCGCGGAAGAUGUAACGGGGCUAAACCAUGCACCGAAGCUGCGGCAGCGACACUAUGUGUUGUUGGGUAGGGGAGCGUUCUGUAAGCCUGUGAAGGUGGCCUGUGAGGGUUGCUGGAGGUAUCAGAAGUGCGAAUGCUGACAUAAGUAACGAUAAAGCGGGUGAAAAGCCCGCUCGCCGGAAGACCAAGGGUUCCUGUCCAACGUUAAUCGGGGCAGGGUGAGUCGACCCCUAAGGCGAGGCCGAAAGGCGUAGUCGAUGGGAAACAGGUUAAUAUUCCUGUACUUGGUGUUACUGCGAAGGGGGGACGGAGAAGGCUAUGUUGGCCGGGCGACGGUUGUCCCGGUUUAAGCGUGUAGGCUGGUUUUCCAGGCAAAUCCGGAAAACCAAGGCUGAGGCGUGAUGACGAGGCACUACGGUGCUGAAGCGACAAAUGCCCUGCUUCCAGGAAAAGCCUCUAAGCAUCAGGUAACAUCAAAUCGUACCCCAAACCGACACAGGUGGUCAGGUAGAGAAUACCAAGGCGCUUGAGAGAACUCGGGUGAAGGAACUAGGCAAAAUGGUGCCGUAACUUCGGGAGAAGGCACGCUGAUAUGUAGGUGAAGCGACUUGCUCGUGGAGCUGAAAUCAGUCGAAGAUACCAGCUGGCUGCAACUGUUUAUUAAAAACACAGCACUGUGCAAACACGAAAGUGGACGUAUACGGUGUGACGCCUGCCCGGUGCCGGAAGGUUAAUUGAUGGGGUUAGCGGUAACGCGAAGCUCUUGAUCGAAGCCCCGGUAAACGGCGGCCGUAACUAUAACGGUCCUAAGGUAGCGAAAUUCCUUGUCGGGUAAGUUCCGACCUGCACGAAUGGCGUAAUGAUGGCCAGGCUGUCUCCACCCGAGACUCAGUGAAAUUGAACUCGCUGUGAAGAUGCAGUGUACCCGCGGCAAGACGGAAAGACCCCGUGAACCUUUACUAUAGCUUGACACUGAACAUUGAGCCUUGAUGUGUAGGAUAGGUGGGAGGCUUUGAAGUGUGGACGCCAGUCUGCAUGGAGCCGACCUUGAAAUACCACCCUUUAAUGUUUGAUGUUCUAACGUUGGCCCCUAAUCGGGGUUGCGGACAGUGUCUGGUGGGUAGUUUGACUGGGGCGGUCUCCUCCUAAAGAGUAACGGAGGAGCACGAAGGUUGGCUAAUCCUGGUCGGACAUCAGGAGGUUAGUGCAAUGGCAUAAGCCAGCUUGACUGCGAGCGUGACGGCGCGAGCAGGUGCGAAAGCAGGUCAUAGUGAUCCGGUGGUUCUGAAUGGAAGGGCCAUCGCUCAACGGAUAAAAGGUACUCCGGGGAUAACAGGCUGAUACCGCCCAAGAGUUCAUAUCGACGGCGGUGUUUGGCACCUCGAUGUCGGCUCAUCACAUCCUGGGGCUGAAGUAGGUCCCAAGGGUAUGGCUGUUCGCCAUUUAAAGUGGUACGCGAGCUGGGUUUAGAACGUCGUGAGACAGUUCGGUCCCUAUCUGCCGUGGGCGCUGGAGAACUGAGGGGGGCUGCUCCUAGUACGAGAGGACCGGAGUGGACGCAUCACUGGUGUUCGGGUUGUCAUGCCAAUGGCACUGCCCGGUAGCUAAAUGCGGAAGAGAUAAGUGCUGAAAGCAUCUAAGCACGAAACUUGCCCCGAGAUGAGUUCUCCCUGACUCCUUGAGAGUCCUGAAGGAACGUUGAAGACGACGACGUUGAUAGGCCGGGUGUGUAAGCGCAGCGAUGCGUUGAGCUAACCGGUACUAAUGAACCGUGAGGCUUAACCUU
rnacentral:rRNA from 3 species